rnacentral:ncRNA from 2 species
CCGUUCUCAACGGGGUGCGAUAAAAACCCGAUGGCAGACAGCCAUUGACGAACCUGGCAACCAGGUUGUCAUUCCCGCCCAAACGGGGAAAUUCCGUCUGCCGCCAUGUCGUUUCUAUCGCUGAGAAAAUACCCGUCGAACCUGAUCCGGUUAACACCGGCGGAGGGAUUUGAGAGUGCUUCCUGC